GUCAAGUCAUUUAACUAAAAAAUUUAAAAAUUAUUUUUUUAUAAAAUUGUGAAUUAACAAUGGCUGUACCUAAAACUUCUGUAAUAUCUGUUUUGAUCUGCUUAAGCUUGUUCAUCGUCGGCUUUAAUAUAUUCGAGGGUGAUUCCCAGUCGGAUUUAGCGGGCGUCUUGUUCUUGGCAUGGAUAGUAUUGAUGCUGGAUAAGUUCCGCAUCUAUUUGCGCGUUUUCAAUCGACGGUGGAUCUUUCCGAUCGCAGUGGCGGUCUACUAUCUAUUCAGCCAAGUCGUAGUGUUUUUUAUGUGGGAUCCGAUAUGGUUUAGAAUCGAAAAUAUAAUGCACUGGAUCUUUUCAACACGAUUUGUAUACACCAUCUAUUACAAGUUUCCAACUAUUGUUGUGUUUAUGAGGCGACAAUCGCUGGCUUUUUUCAAGCUGGUCAUGAUGCUUCUAGUUUUCUACAAGACCCUGAAGAGUUAUCAAGUCCCCGAAGAAAAAAAAAGAUAUAGACGUGGAAUUCAUAAAGAAGCGUUAAGGGGUUUGCUGUCUAAGUCUGGAAAUCGAACUCCUCGAGUGUCUAACAGGCGGAAGAAGAAGCAGUAAAGACGUAAUGCCAAUAUUAGUUCAGGUUUGGAUUGCAGUACAAGCUCGUUCAUUAUAUAUAUUCAGCAGUUGCACAUUUGUGAUUGUUAUUUGGAAAUUCAUUUAAUGCUCGUUUUUACCAUAUUGUUAUUAAGAUACUUCGGUUGAUGAAACAAACAGAUCAAAUCACAUAUUUGUAUACGAUUUAUUUUAUACUUCUAUAUAUAAGUUUCGGUUUUUAUGCAAGCUCGUUAAUGGCUAAUGGUCCGUGUCGCACGCUUUUUAUAUAAUUGGGUUCCAUUUAGGUACACUCUACAGACGAUUAAUGGAACAGACUAUUAUACGAUUACAUAUUGUGUUCUGUUUAACUAGUUGAUUCUCCAAUAUAUAACAAGUCAAAACACUCAUUUUAUUGGACUUGAACCUUCUUCUUUGUAUUAUUUAUUUAUUGAUUAUACUGGAUUUCAAUUGUGACACAAUCUCGUUCCCUAUAUUGCCAGCAUGGUAACUCCAAUACAUAGGUUUCGGCUUUCGUUUUAUAAAGUAUACUCAUUUGGAUGAUUGAUGGAACAAACAUCAACAUAUGUCAAGUGCUCUAUUAGAACCAUUUAUUUAGUCGUUGAUUAUCUUAGUCUUGACAGUAAUACAGAUUGUCCCACAAUUUCAUGACAAUUUUCUACUUUAAGUUCGAAGUAUGCACCUUUUACAAUAUUGUUUUUCAAGCCGUCAGACACUUGAUUAUCAAAUCAAAUGACAUAGAUAUGAGCGUAAUUGCAUGUAUAUUAAAUCCGAUUUCUUUUUAAUACAAGCUCGUUAAUUACGUUGACGGCAA
rnacentral:sRNA from 1 species